GCCGGGCACGGUGGCGCACGCCUGUAAUCCCAGCGGCUUGGAGGCUGAGGCAGGAGAAUGGUGAGUUCAAAGCCAGCCUCAG
rnacentral:sRNA from 1 species